AAAUAAUCAGUUGAACCAGUAUUUAUCUUACUAAAACUAAGCAGACAGGAUCUGGGUUCCGAUUAUCUUGGAAUCUUGAAUCCAUUUGAACUGUUAAAAACAAGAAAAAGGAUUCAAUUUUGAACUGAAAAAGGGAGAAAGAAUUGUUGAAUCAGGAUGGAUAUGGAGGAUGAAUAUGAACCCCAAUACAAUGUUGACGAUGAUGAAGAGGAGAUAACCCAAGAAGAUGCUUGGGCUGUGAUUAGUGCUUACUUUGAGGAGAAGGGUCUUGUUCGUCAACAACUAGAUUCGUUUGAUGAGUUCAUUCAGAAUACCAUGCAAGAAAUCGUUGAUGAAUCUGCUGAUAUAGAGAUCCGUCCUGAGUCCCAGCAUAACCCUGGUCACCAAUCUGACUUUGCUGAGACUAUCUACAAAAUCAAUUUUGGUCAGAUUUAUUUGAGUAAGCCAAUGAUGACAGAGUCAGAUGGUGAAACUGCUACCUUAUUUCCAAAGGCUGCGAGGUUGAGGAAUCUGACAUAUUCUGCUCCUUUGUACGUUGAUGUCACGAAAAGAGUCAUUAAGAAAGGGCAUGAUGGUGAAGAGGUUACUGAAACUCAGGACUUCACAAAAGUCUUCAUUGGAAAGGUUCCUAUAAUG
rnacentral:misc_RNA from 1 species